GACGAACCUUGCUAACGUUAUUCGGAAUUACUGGGCGUAAAGGGCGCGUAGGCGGCGUGUCAAGUCAGGCGUGAAAGCCCCGGGCUCAACCUGGGAACCGCGCUUGAGACUGGCAUGCUCGAGUUCGGGAGAGGAUGGUGGAAUUCCCAGUGUAGAGGUGAAAUUCGUAGAUAUUGGGAAGAACACCGAUGGCGAAGGCAGCCAUCUGGACCGACACUGACGCUGAGGCGCGAAAGCGUGGGGAGCAAACAGG
rnacentral:rRNA from 1 species